GACGAACGCUGGCGGCGCGCCUAACACAUGCAAGUCGAACGGAGCUGAGAGAAGCUUGCUUUUCUUAGCUUAGUGGCGAACGGGUGAGUAACGCGUGAGUAACCUGCCCUGGAGUGGGGGACAACAGUUGGAAACGACUGCUAAUACCGCAUAAGCCCACGAUCCGGCAUCGGAUUGAGGGAAAAGGAUUUAUUCGCUUCAGGAUGGACUCGCGUCCAAUUAGCUAGUUGGUGAGGUAACGGCCCACCAAGGCGACGAUUGGUAGCCGGACUGAGAGGUUGAACGGACACAUUGGGACUGAGACACGGCCCAGACUCCUACGGGAAGCAGCAGUGGGGGAUAUUGCACAAUGGGGGAAAUCCUGAUGCAGCGACGCCGCGUGGAGGAAGAAGGUUUUCGGAUUGUAAACUCCUGUCGUGAGGGACGAUAAUGACGGUACCUAACAAGAAAGCACCGGCUAACUACGUG
rnacentral:rRNA from 1 species